UGGCCUACGGGACGCAGCAGUGAGGAAUAUUGGUCAAUGGGCGGGAGCCUGAACCAGCCAAGUCGCGCGAGGGAAGACGGUCCUAUGGAUUGUAAACCUCUUUUGUCGGGGAGCAAAGAGAUCACGUGUGGUCAAAAGCGAGAGUACCCGAAGAAAAAGCAUCGGCUAACUCCGUGCCAGCAGCCGCGGUAAUACGGAGGAUGCGAGCGUUAUCCGGAUUUAUUGGGUUUAAAGGGUGCGCAGGCGGACCAUCAAGUCAGCGGUAAAAUCGUGGGGCCCAACCCCAUCCCGCCGGUGAAACUGGG
rnacentral:rRNA from 1 species